rnacentral:rRNA from 1 species
AUUGAACGCUGGCGGCAUGCUUUACACAUGCAAGUCGAACGGUAACAGGCCGCAAGGUGCUGACGAGUGGCGAACGGGUGAGUAAUGCAUCGGAACGUGCCCAGUCGUGGGGGAUAACGCAGCGAAAGCUGCGCUAAUACCGCAUACGAUCUAUGGAUGAAAGCGGGGGACCGUAAGGCCUCGCGCGAUUGGAGCGGCCGAUGUCGGAUUAGGUAGUUGGUGGGGUAAAGGCUCACCAAGCCAACGAUCUGUAGCUGGUCUGAGAGGACGACCAGCCACACUGGGACUGAGACACGGCCCAGACUCCUACGGGAGGCAGCAGUGGGGAAUUUAGGACAAUGGGCGCAAGCCUGAUCCAGCAAUGCCGCGUGCAGGAAGAAGGCCUUCGGGUUGUAAACUGCUUUUGUACGGAACGAAACGGUCCUGGUUAAUACCUGGGGCUAAUGACGGUACCGUAAGAAUAAGCACCGGCUAACUACGUGCCAGCCGCCGCCGUAA